CUUUUAACACGUUUGAAUAUUUGUAUAAUAGGUACAUUUUAACUCAUUUAAUACUUCCUGCAUGGGUGUAUCGUUUUGAAAACGUAGGGAAAUCGUUAAAGAUUCGUAUUCGUAAUCGGUAAUUCGAUAUUCAUAGUUAGAACAUUAUUUUUGGUAAUCAGAAAAAGUCAUUUACCCACUUUCAAUGUCAAGAGUCAAGUGUGAAAACUAGAUGAUGUUUGCGUCUACUUCAACCAGAUCACUUCUUAUGUAAAUAUUAUGAUUGCAAAUACCUUUUCAACGACAUAUUAUAAUAAAACUUAAUUGUUUCUGGCUGAUGUGAGUUUGCACUUUCAGUUUGCUUCUGUAUUUAUAAAAUAAAAUUUGAAUUAUGGUUUUGUUUGGAAUUAUUACUUGAGAGUAAUAAUUAUGAUUGGGAUCCAAAAAAUACCUAACCUAAUCCUAAUCACCGUAAAAACCUAAUAACCGGUUUUUACUUUAAAAAGAAAAAAACGGGACAAAAAUACAACCGGGUAAACCGGUUAUUUCGAAGUAAAAAAACCGGUUUUAGUUUAAAACCGGUAGGUUUUUCCCAUCCCUAGUUCUAAGUAUCCAACUAAGUUUUAUAAAUCCUGCAGAUGUUAGACUAAACCUUCGAGCAAUUUCCGCAUCUUGGUUCCCUUUGCCAAGAAUGGCACGUGUUGCAGAAUAUAUGCCUAAGGGUCGGUUUCACCAACAAAAAAUAAAUCAGUGAAUAGUUAUUCGUCGAAUAAGAUUUAUUAGUCGAUUAAAUUUUAUUUCGUUUCAAUAACUAUUUGUAAUCCACAGUUAGUUAUUCGUCAAAUAAGUUCAAAGUAUAAUGAUUUUCCACAGACUGUACUCGUUGACAUAAGCGAAUGACAGUUCUUCUUCCUCAUAUUAGCUUGUUGGCCUCCACCUCUUCGGUGUUUUGCCAAGCACAUUGCAUUAUUUUCCACUGUAAUCCCACGUGACCUCUGGUUCUGGUUGGCACAUAAACUAACAAAGAGGUUAUGUUUGUAGGUAUCUUUUAUCUAUUUUUCAAUGAUUUUUCAUUGUUUAUAAUCAUCGUAUUUUGUCUAUUUUGGAUUCAUUUGGAUUUCGUUUCCUGUUUUUGUGAACUUUAUAAACUUAACCACAAUGCAAAAUGAUUAUUUAAGGAAAUUAUUAUUGGAAACUUCAGAUGUUGCGAGAAAGAUAUUUAUUGAAGCUGAAAAUAAUUGGGGAUUUAGAUCCAUACGCAAUUCAGUCAGAAUUGGAUUUUACAGUUAAGUGCAGUCCAUCAAGUUACUAUUAUAGAUAUUUAUACAUAUUUGGUGGAGUCUCACAGUUGCUACUCUAAGCAGCAGAUGAAAGCAUACAAAAGCCUUCAGGCACAUAAAUAUUUUACAGCUGGAUUUGUUUUGAAUGGAGUAAAAAUUGUUAAUGAUUUCCAUAUUAUUGUAGGAAAGGUGAAGCAUUUCCAAAAAGCUAAUGCUCAACGACUAAAUGCUUGGGUGGGGUGAUAGCCAGUUCUGAUGACAUAGCAAAUGCACAUUGUAUGCAUAUGGCCGGUAAUAGUAAAGUAUGCCCAGGGCAAGACAGACGAAGAAGAACCCAAUGCAUGUACAUAUGUUACAGCUACAUGGUUUGGAGAUAGCAACAUAUGCAUUCUCUGAUGAAAAACUAAUGAGUUUUGAAACUGUUCGGUCAGAGUGCUUGUUGCGCUCACUGAACGAACUGAAAU